AGUCUGGAAGGCAUACGCCUUCAUUCAAUGAAGUUUAUAAGAUAUAACACGUUGUAGAAUACGAUUUUAAUUAAAAUUGAUCGUGUUUUAUAAAGUUUUGCCUUUCACGGAUUUUUAAGUCACUAUUAUUUAGCAUGCGGUAUAUAUAAUAACGAUUCCGUAGGUGCUGAUGCAGGUACAGCAGGUUCAUCGCUUUUCUUCAUAAGUGCCUAUAUACGGUUAACCAGCAUAUUUUAGAUUGGUAACCAACUUACUUGUGCAAUAAUGGAAGCUACCUUUUCCUUAUCCACGGCCGUAUGGAUACGUUUAUUCUUUAAAUGGUGUGGAGUGUCUCUACGAUGAAGUCUAUUGGGUCUAU